GCACUAAACGGCGAAACUGCGAAUGGCUCAUUAAAUCAGUUAUCGUAUAUUUGAUAGUACCUACUACAUGGAUAACCGUGGUAAUUCUAGAGCUAAUACAUGCUUAAAAUCCCGACUUCGGAAGGGAUGUAUUUAUUAGAUUAAAAACCAAUGCCCUUCGGGGCUCCCUGGUGAUUCAUAAUAACUUCUCGAAUCGCAUGGCCUUGUGCCGGCGAUGGUUCAUUCAAAUUUCUGCCCUAUCAACUUUCGACGGCUGGGUCUUGGCCAGCCGUGGUUACAACGGGUAACGGAGGGUUAGGGCUUGACCCCGGAGAAGGAGCCUGAGAAACGGCUACUACAUCCAAGGAAGGCAGCAGGCGCGCAAAUUACCCAAUCCCGAUACGGGGAGGUAGUGACAAUAAAUACUGAUACAGGGCUCUUUUGGGUCUUGUAAUUGGAAUGAGUACAAUUUAAAUCCCUUAACGAGGAACAAUUGGAGGGCAAGUCUGGUGCCAGCAGCCGCGGUAAUUCCAGCUCCAAUAGCGUAUAUUAAAGUUGUUGCAGUUAAAAAGCUCGUAGUUGAACCUUGGGCCUGGCUGGCCGGUCUGCCUCACCGCAUGCACUGGUCCGGCCGGGCCUUUCCCUCUGGGGAGCCGCAUGCCCUUCACUGGGUGUGUCGGGGAACCAGGACUUUUACUGUGAAAAAAUUAGAGUGUUCAAAGCAGGCCUAUGCUCGAAUACAUUAGCAUGGAAUAAUAGAAUAGGACGUCGCGGUUCUAUUUUGUUGGUUUCUAGGACCGCCGUAAUGAUUAAUAGGGACAGUCGGGGGCAUCAGUAUUCAAUCGUCAGAGGUGAAAUUCUUGGAUCGAUUGAAGACUAACUACUGCGAAAGCAUUUGCCAAGGAUGUUUUCAUUAAUCAGGAACGA
rnacentral:rRNA from 1 species